GCUGCAGUGAGUGGUUCCACUGCCUGGAUAACCCUUGAGGAACACGUCAGUUACUGUCACGAUGGGGCAGGCUCCACCCGUGCUGCUCAGGUGCAAAUGGACUUGAGAGCAUCUAUGUGCUGGUGAAGCAUGAGGUCUGAGUAGAAAAGGGGUAUCCCUUGAGACCACCUUGGGACCAGUGCUUGCAAGCAGCGAGAUAUUUCCCCAGCAAAACCAGGCAGCUGCUAAUUAAAUGCUUAGAACCAAUGAAAGCUGGCUGUGGUCCUGCCUGUGAGCUGCCUACUGCUGCCUUCUGAAUGCAUAUAUCUGCUACUGUAGCCCCGGGUUGUCAAACUAUGGCCUGUGGGCCAAAUCCAGCCACAGUCGGUUCUUUAAAGUUUUAUCGAAACACAAGCAAUGGAAAUGCCCAUUUCCAUUGUUGUCUCCAGUUGCUCUGCUCCGAGGGCAGUGUUAAGUUGUGCAGCAGAGGCCCCUCCAUGCAAAGCUGAAUAUGUUUACUAUUUGAACUUUUUCAGAAGUUCUGCUUAAGGACAAAAUAAAGCCUAAAUCCAAGAACACUUU
rnacentral:lncRNA from 1 species